rnacentral:rRNA from 1 species
AGAGUUUGAUCAUGGCUCAGAUUGAACGCUGGCGGCAGGCCUAACACAUGCAAGUCGAACGGUAACAGGAAGCAGCUUGCUGCUUUGCUGACGAGUGGCGGACGGGUGAGUAAUGUCUGGGAAACUGCCUGAUGGAGGGGGAUAACUACUGGAAACGGUGGCUAAUACCGCAUAACGUCGCAAGACCAAAGAGGGGGACCUUCGGGCCUCUUGCCAUCAGAUGUGCCCAGAUGGGAUUAGCUUGUUGGUGAGGUAACGGCUCACCAAGGCGACGAUCCCUAGCUGGUCUGAGAGGAUGACCAGCCACACUGGAACUGAGACACGGUCCAGACUCCUACGGGAGGCAGCAGUGGGGAAUAUUGCACAAUGGGCGCAAGCCUGAUGCAGCCAUGCCGCGUGUAUGAAGAAGGCCUUCGGGUUGUAAAGUACUUUCAGCGGGGAGGAAGGUGUUGUGGUUAAUAACCGCAGCAAUUGACGUUACCCGCAGAAGAAGCACCGGCUAACUCCGUGCCAGCAGCCGCGGUAAUACGGAGGGUGCAAGCGUUAAUCGGAAUUACUGGGCGUAAAGCGCACGCAGGCGGUCUGUCAAGUCGGAUGUGAAAUCCCCGGGCUCAACCUGGGAACUGCAUUCGAAACUGGCAGGCUUGAGUCUUGUAGAGGGGGUAGAAUUCCAGGUGUAGCGGUGAAAUGCGUAGAGAUCUGGAGGAAUACCGGUGGCGAAGGCGGCCCCCUGGACAAAGACUGACGCUCAGGUGCGAAAGCGUGGGGAGCAAACAGGAUUAGAUACCCUGGUAGUCCACGCCGUAAACGAUGUCUACUUGGAGGUUGUGCCCUUGAGGCGUGGCUUCCGGAGCUAACGCGUUAAGUAGACCGCCUGGGGAGUACGGCCGCAAGGUUAAAACUCAAAUGAAUUGACGGGGGCCCGCACAAGCGGUGGAGCAUGUGGUUUAAUUCGAUGCAACGCGAAGAACCUUACCUGGUCUUGACAUCCACGGAAGGUCUCAGAGAUGAGACUGUGCCUUCGGGAGCCGUGAGACAGGUGCUGCAUGGCUGUCGUCAGCUCGUGUUGUGAAAUGUUGGGUUAAGUCCCGCAACGAGCGCAACCCUUAUCCUUUGUUGCCAGCGAUUAGGUCGGGAACUCAAAGGAGACUGCCAGUGAUAAACUGGAGGAAGGUGGGGAUGACGUCAAGUCAUCAUGGCCCUUACGACCAGGGCUACACACGUGCUACAAUGGCGCAUACAAAGAGAAGCGACCUCGCGAGAGCAAGCGGACCUCAUAAAGUGCGUCGUAGUCCGGAUUGGAGUCUGCAACUCGACUCCAUGAAGUCGGAAUCGCUAGUAAUCGUGGAUCAGAAUGCCACGGUGAAUACGUUCCCGGGCCUUGUACACACCGCCCGUCACACCAUGGGAGUGGGUUGCAAAAGAAGUAGGUAGCUUAACCUUCGGGAGGGCGCUUACCACUUUGUGAUUCAUGACUGGGGUGAAGUCGUAACAAGGUAACCGUAGGGGAACCUGCGGUUGGAUCACCU